GUCGCCUCUGUCUUCUCUCCUUUGCCUCGCGCCCUCCCAGUAGCCACCGACCACCAGACACCGUCACACUAGUCGCCGACUCGCUGACUCGCCGCUUCGCCAACUUUAUCUUAAAGCUUCAACCGUCGCCAGAUGCCCAGCUCCUUCUUCCACCACAGACUCUGUCUUCACCCUCAGGCCUCAGUGAGAACUGAGAAGUGUGACAUUUUUGUGGCAGACUCCAAAGAAUGGCCAAGUAUAGAUCCUUUCCACACAAUCCACUCCAGCCCUUGUUCUUUUCCCACAAAAUACCCUUCACCUCUUGCCCUUUACCUUUAGAAUCUCCUCCACAAUCUGCUAUUGGAGCACACCCAGAUGACCUAAGAGUCGCGUGCUUUUCAGCAUUAGAGCAGCUAAUUCGACGCGGAUUAGUGAAUUCCGCACAGAAGCUUGUUCAGAGAAUUAUAAAGCAUUCCUCAUCGGUCCAUGAAGCCGUCUCUGCUGUUGAUUUUGCACUUUCUAGGGGAGUCGAGCUCGAUAUCAAGAGUUAUGAUUUUCUUAUCAGAAAACUUGCGACUUGUGGCAAAGCCAGGAUGGCAGAGGCAGUUUAUGUUGACUUCAUUUUGAGCAGAGGAGUUGAGCCGGAUCAUUAUUUAUUGAAUUCUAUGGUUCUUUGUUAUUCUAAGUUGGGUAAGUUGGAGGAAGCGAAGUCUCAAUUUGAUAGACUUCUUGCAAUGGAAAUUAUGCCUUGCAGUGCAGCGUGCAGUGAAAUUAUUAGAGAGUUUUGUGUACAAAACCGAGUCCUUGAGGGAUUUCAUGUGUUUCUUGAAGUUUGUGAUGCUGAAUUUGUACUGAACCUCCAGUGCUACAAUGAGUUGGUGGAUGGGUUGAGCUCAAGAGGGUACAUAGACGAAGCACUUUGUGUGUAUGACUUAAUGUGUGAUAAAGGGGUGCCACCCACUAUUCAUUUGCUCAAAAAAUUGGUUUUCGUGCUUUGUCGGAGUGGUCGGGUUGAGGAGGCUGAGUUGUUAAGUUUGAACAUGGAAUCUUUUGGUUUCUUUCUUGAUAAAGUCAUGUACACGGCUCUUAUCAAUGGGUAUUGCCAGAAAAGAAGUAUGAGGAUGGCUAUGAGAUUGUUUUACAGAAUGCUGAAAAUGGGCUGCCAGCCAGAUAAUUAUACAUGCAACACAUUGAUGCAUGGUUUUUUGAACUUAGGCGUGUUUGAAAAAAUUCCUGUGUUGCAUCACCAGAUGGAAGAGCUGGGGUUGAAGCUUAAUGUUGUGAGUUACCAAAUCAUGAUUAGCAAGUGUUGCAAGGUUUUUAAAGUUGAUUGUGCAUUGGCCCUGUUAAAUAGUAUGAUACAGUGCAAUUUAGCACCCACUGUAUACUGUUACACGCCUUUACUUGCUGCACUUUAUAAGGAAAAUCGAUUAGCAGAAGUUGAUCAAUUGUAUAAUCAGUUGUUUGAUCAUGGACUUCUUCCUGAUGAAGUUCUCUUCUUCACUGUAGUAAAAAACCAUGUAGAAGGGCAUGAGAUUAAUCUGGCUCAUAAUUUUGUGGCAGAAAUUGCCAAAAAUGGGUGUGGCAUUGACCUCUCAGACAUCUGUAGCACCAGUAGUAAAUCUGCUGAUGACAUCAUGCUUGAGACUGAUCUUCUCCUGGAAGAAAUUUUUUCACGAAACUCAGGUUUAGCUUGUGUUGCUUUUAAUAUAUACAUGACUGCACUGUGUUAUGGAGGCAGACUUGAGGCUGCUUUGCUAUGCAUGGAUAAAAUGUCAAAUCUUUCUCUUCAGCCUUCACUCCCAGCUUACAACUCCAUCAUUAGGUGUCUUUACCAGAAAGGACGAGGAGAGGAUGCUAAAUCCCUUGUUAAAGUAAUGCAAGACCAAGGUCUAGUUCCAAGCAUGCUAACAUUCUUAAUAAUGGCGAAUGAGCAAUGUAAACAGGGUGACUUGCCAUCAGCUAUUGGGAUUUUAGAUCAACUAGAAGAUAGUGGAAUGAAGCCUAGUGUCGCUAUAUAUGACUCUAUAAUAGGGCAUUUGACUAGAGAGAAGAGAGUACCGGAAGCAUUAGAAUUGUUUGCUAGAAUGCGUGAGGCUGGAACUCUCCCUGAUGAAAAUAUGUUUGUAACAAUGAUUAAUGGUCUCUCAAAGAACGGACAAGCAAUUGCAGCUCAUGAACUCUUUGAGAAAAUGUCGGAGUGUGGUAUUCGACCAGGCUACCGGGCUUACACCGCACUUAUAAAUGGAUUUGUUAAGAAAAACAUGAUAGCAAAGGGGUGCCUAUAUCUUGAUAGAAUGUUCAAAGAGGGAUUUAUGCCCAAUGCUGCUCUUUAUACAUCUCUGAUCAACCAAUUUUUAAGGAAGGGAGAAAUUGGAUUUGCGCUUCAGUUAGUUGAUUUGAUGGAGAGAACUCAGAUUGAGCAAGAUAUGAUAACCCAUGUUGCAUUGGUUAGUGGUGUUUGCAGAAAUAUUCGAUACAUUAGUAGGAAAUGGCAUGAAUCACAAAGACAAUUUGAGAAGCCAAAGUCUAUGCUUUACGAUCUACUCUGCCAGUAUACCAAUUUUUCAAAGGGGAAAGAUUUGAAAUUUUUUUUCAGUUCAAGGAAAGAACUAAAAGUUUUUGCACUGAAAUUGAUCAGCAAAGUGGAAGAAACUAAUUUUCUUCCGAACUUAUACCUGCAUAAUGGCGUGAUUGCUGGAUAUUGUUGGGCAAAUAAUAUGCAAGGGGUUACAAUGACUAAAUCAAUCUGCUAUCUCAUGAUUCACCAAAACAAAAUCUGCUAUCUCACGGACAUGGGAGAUGAUGAGUGUUUCACUAAUGAUACAUUAAGUAUGGAUGUUACAGUGGUCACUGGAUGACAGUGCAAUAAGCACUUUGGAUUCUCCAGUUGAUCUUGAAGGCUUUUAGGGGUUCUUGUCUUAAGUUGAAGCUGAACAUCUUUUAUACAGACUCUAGAACUUCAUCAGUUACUGAGACCAAUAGUUUCAGCAGCAGAAUCAUCUUGUCUUCAGACUAUUCAACAUAGGAUGAGAUCUUCAGCUGGUCAAUUGGGUGCCUGUCAAGGGCUUCAAUGGAGCACCUGCCAAUAGCUUCAGCCAGUGAAAUCUUUGCCAGAGGCUCCAAUAGGUGCCACUGUGCCUACCAAAAGCUUCCAUUCUGAGAAGGUCUUUGGCUCUUUGCAUCUCCUGCAAUUGAGUCUAUUUAAUGUGGCUCUACCUGAGAUUCAGUUUCAAACGAUUCCUCGAUCAAAUGUCCUUGAGUCUUGAUUCUAACGAUUGAACUUAAGAUUCUGGACUCGUAUAUACGUCAUAUGGAUGGAUGCACUUUGGAUACUGAAGGGGAAAAGGAUAGAGUCAUCAAGUGCCUUGAAGCUGCUAUUCAAAGAAGAGUAAGUGAGAGUUGAAUUUGAUGCAGGGCCUAAGAUCGACUAGAACUAUGUGCAAAGGACAGAGUAGGACUGCUAUCUGAUGUAACAAGAGUUGUGAGAGAAAAUGGGCUGUUAGAGUUACAAGAGUGGGGGAUUCAACUGUUGGGGAGCAAGGAGCGAAUGUGUUGUACGUAAGAGAUUCAUCUGGAAAUCCGGUGGACACGAAAAUAAUUGAAGGACUGCACAAAGAAAUCGGGCAAAGGAUGAUGCUUAAUGUGAAGAAAGUGGCAGCAUAUAUGUGCAUGUGCAAAGGAGCAAAUAAUUUGCAACUCAAAGGGUUUAACAUUACAGAGGAAUAUAGUCAAAACAACAACAAAACAGACAAAUCUCAGAAUUAACAACGGGUUCCGGCGGGGCUUGGGCGGUUGCGGCAGUAUUUUCUUCGGAGACAAGUGCAGCCGCCGAUUGGAACUCCGAUGGGUGACGGUGGAGAACGGCUGGGCUUAGGUGGCUGCAGCAGUGUUUUCUUCCGGUAAGCUUUCUUACGUUACCGUCGAUUCCAACCUCAACGAAGGUGUAGGUGAGGUCCAUUAGGAAAGUUCCUUUCAUUUUCAAACCCAGAUCCCUUUCUCCUCCAUUUCUUUUCUUAAACUUUACACAGUUUGAAUAAAUUUUGGGUUCAAGGUGAUAUACAUGUUGAAAUACAUAUUAAACUAGAUAUAAUCUCAAUAUUUUGGAUGAAGAUGAAAGAAUUAAGACAAGUAUUUUAAGGAUUGAUUUAUGAGAAA